CAGUAGCCGCGGUAAUACGUAGGUGGCAAGCGUUGUCCGGAAUGAUUGGGCGUAAAGGGCGCGCAGGCGGCUGUGUAAGUCUGUCUAGAAAGUGCGGGGCUAAACCCCGUGAGAGGAUGGAAACUGGACAGCUGAGAGUGUCGGAGAGGAAAGCGGAAUUCCUAGUGUAGCGGUGAAAUGCGUAGAUAUUAGGAGGAACACCGGUGGCGAAAGCGGCUUUCUGGACGACAACUGACGCUGAGGCGCGAAAGCCAGGGGAGCAAACGGGAUUUGAUACCCCAGUAGUCCCUGUCUCUUAUAC
rnacentral:rRNA from 1 species